rnacentral:tRNA from 1 species
GGCCCCGUAGCUCAGCUGGUAGAGCGUGCGCUGUACGAAAGCGUAGGCGGCGUCCAUGCAUGGAUUCGAAUCCCAACUAGGCUA